rnacentral:rRNA from 1 species
AUACGGAGGGUGCAAGCGUUACUCGGAAUCACUGGGCGUAAAGCGCGCGCAGGCGGCUUGAUAAGUUGGAUGUGAAAGCCUACGGCUCAACCGUAGAACUGCAUCCAAAACUGUCAGGCUAGAGUGUGGGAGAGGAAGAUGGAAUUAGUUGUGUAGGGGUAAAAUCCGUAGAGAUAACUAGGAAUACCAAAAGCGAAGGCAAUCUUCUGGAACACUUCUGACGCUGAGGCGCGAAGGCGUGGGGAGCAAACAGGAUUAGAAACCCCGGUAGUCC